GCAAGUCGAACGCUUCUUUCCUCCCGAGUGCUUGCACUCAAUUGGAAAGAGGAGUGGCGGACGGGUGAGUAACACGUGGGUAACCUACCCAUCAGAGGGGGAUAACACUUGGAAACAGGUGCUAAUACCGCAUAACAGUUUAUGCCGCAUGGCAUAAGAGUGAAAGGCGCUUUCGGGUGUCGCUGAUGGAUGGACCCGCGGUGCAUUAGCUAGUUGGUGAGGUAACGGCUCACCAAGGCCACGAUGCAUAGCCGACCUGAGAGGGUGAUCGGCCACACUGGGACUGAGACACGGCCCAGACUCCUACGGGAGGCAGCAGUAGGGAAUCUUCGGCAAUGGACGAAAGUCUGACCGAGCAACGCCGCGUGAGUGAAGAAGGUUUUCGGAUCGUAAAACUCUGUUGUUAGAGAAGAACAAGGACGUUAGUAACUGAACGUCCCCUGACGGUAUCUAACCAGAAAGCCACGGCUAACUACGUGCCAGCAGCCGCGGUAAUACGUAGGUGGCAAGCGUUGUCCGGAUUUAUUGGGCGUAAAGCGAGCGCAGGCGGUUUCUUAAGUCUGAUGUGAAAGCCCCCGGCUUAACCGGGGAGGGUCAUUGGAAACUGGGAGACUUGAGUGCAGAAGAGGAGAGUGGAAUUCCAUGUGUAGCGGUGAAAUGCGUAGAUAUAUGGAGGAACACCAGUGGCGAAGGCGGCUCUCUGGUCUGUAACUGACGCUGAGGCUCGAAAGCGUNNGAGCAAACAGGAUUAGAUACCCCUGGUAGUCCACGCCGUAAACGAUGAGUGCUAAGUGUUUGGGAGGGUUUCCGCCCUUCAGUGCUGCAGCAAACGCAUUAAGCACUC
rnacentral:rRNA from 1 species